rnacentral:rRNA from 1 species
AUUGAACGCUGGCGGCAUGCCUUACACAUGCAAGUCGAACGGUAACAGGUCUUCGGAUGCUGACGAGUGGCGAACGGGUGAGUAAUACAUCGGAACGUGCCCGAUCGUGGGGGAUAACGAAGCGAAAGCUUUGCUAAUACCGCAUAAGAUCUACGGAUGAAAGCAGGGGACCGCAAGGCCUUGCGCGAACGGAGCGGCCGAUGGCAGAUUAGGUAGUUGGUGGGAUAAAAGAUUACCAAGCCGACGAUCUGUAGCUGGUCUGAGAGGACGACAAGGCACACUGGGACUGAGACACGGACCAGACUCCUACGGGAGGCAGCAGUGGGGAAUUUUGGACAAUGGGCGAAGGCCUGAUCCAGCCAUGACGCGUGCAGGAUGAAGGCCUUCGGGUUGUAAACUGCUUUUGUACGGAACGAAAAGACUCUUUCUAAUAAAGAGGGUCCAUGACGGUACCGUAAGAAUAAGCACCGGCUAACUACGUGCCAGCCGCCGCCGUAA